AGCGAACGCUGGCGGCAGGCCUAACACAUGCAGGUCGAACGAAGUCUUCGGACUUAGUGGCGGACGGGUGAGUAACACGUGGGAACGUGCCUUUAGGUUCGGAAUAACUCAGGGAAACUUGUGCUAAUACCGAAUGUGCCCUUCGGGGGAAAGAUUUAUCGCCUUUAGAGCGGCCCGCGUCUGAUUAGCUAGUUGGUGAGGUAAAGGCUCACCAAGGCGACGAUCAGUAGCUGGUCUGAGAGGAUGAUCAGCCACAUUGGGGCUGAGACACGGCCCAAACUCCUACGGGAGGCAGCAGUGGGGAAUCUUGCGCAAUGGGCGAAAGCCUGACGCAGCCAUGCCGCGUGAAUGAUGAAGGUCUUAGGAUUGUAAAAUUCUUUCACCGGGGGCGAUAAUGACGGUACCCGGAGAAGAAGCCCCGGCUAACUUCGUGCCAGCCGCCGCGGUAACAC
rnacentral:rRNA from 1 species